ensembl:lncRNA
GGCAAAAUGUCCAUGGGGAACACUGAGCCCAUGCUGGAGGCAUCUGUGAGAGCAAAGCAGGGAGGUACAAGUGGCUGCAUCUGUAGCAAGGCUGGGCUCAGCUGAAGGAAAGGAAAAGGAAAAAAAGAAGUGAAAUGGAAAAAAAAAAAAAAAAAAAAAAAAAAAAGGAGUGCUCUGCCAAUUGCUAAUUAGCUCCUGCUUGUAGGGAAGCUGGAGGUAGGAAGGGAGCACUGAGCUGACGGGCUGAGCAUUGUUGUCCCUGGAGGAACUUCUUCAACAAUUCCUCCUAGCUGGAGGCACUGCCAAAGCAGAAUUUCGCUGUUUCAGCAGAUGCUCCUUACUACUGGAUGCCAGUACAAAACCCAAGCCCAGAGCACAGUGCUGUCUAAAAAAUGAAAGAGAAGACCAUGUGAUCUCAUGAAGGAAAAGGAGAAAAGUGAAAAAGUGCUUGGCAGCCCCAACACCUCUCUCCGUUGUGGCUCUGGCAGAACAGCCUCUGGACAGGAGAAAGCACAUUUCUGCUGCAGUGCCCGGGGACGCGAAGGGUCCUCCACAGCCAUCAGGACACCCUGGGGACAUAUGUUGCAUGGAAAGGAUGAAGCUCAGUGCUGAGUGUAAACCACGCAGCCUAUGCCUUGUAGGAAGCGGUCGUGUAGGGAAAAUUGCAUCAUCAAACAAUUAGAGACUGUAUCUCAAGCCAUGUGCAGAGGGGGUCAGACUGAGGUUGCCGAGUGAUCUGAAUUUGGUGAUUUUCCGCACUGGUCUAAAGCCCCCUCUCCAGCAGAAAUCAGCCAUGUCACGGGGCUGCGAGAAGGGCGACUGAUAAGAGCGAUCUCUCUCAUCCCUCACACGAGCACGAAGCCCCCACCGGGUGCAGAGCGCUCCCCUGGGCCGCCCGGGCCCCACCGCUGCUCCCGCGAAGCCACCUCCGAGGGCACCCGCCUCGCUGCCCGCGCGAACCCGGUGUGGGCCGGGGCAGGUGACCCGUGGAGAGCGGCGGCGCCCGGCGGUGCCCGCAGGGGUCG